AGUUCAAUCUUUUUCGAAUUUUGUGUGCUUCUUGCUAACUUAGUUUUUGAGAGGUUUGUAAAAUCUUAAGCAAGAUCAAUACUAUAAACAAUAGAUAUUGAGGUUCUAAACUAUCCUAGAAUUAGAUUAAUUUGAUUAAGAUUUGAUUUAGAAUUUAGGAAUUGGUUAGGAUUUAGGAUUUGUUUAGGAUUUAGGAUUGUUUAGGAUUUAGUUAGGAUUUGAUUUA
rnacentral:lncRNA from 1 species